AAUUACCCAAUCCUGACACAGGGAGGUAGUGACAAGAAAUAUCAAUAUAAGACGUUUCUGUCUUGUAAUUGGGAUGAGCGAAACAUAAACCGCUUCUCGAGUAUCAAUUGGAGGGCAAGUCCGGUGCCAGCAGCCGCGGUAAUUCCAGCUCCAAUAGCGUAUAUUAAAAUUGUUGCGGUUAAAACGCUCGUAGUUGGAUAUCUGCCAAGGAGUUUCGGUCCUCCCCAGUGGAGAAUACGCGGAACAUUUCUUGGCACUUGUUCAGGGAAGGUGUUUGCACUUUGUUGUGCGUCACGUGAUCUGAAUUUUUACUUUGAGGAAAUGAGAGUGUUUCAAGCAGGCUUUUGCCAUGAAUAUGAUAGCAUGGAAUAAUAGCACAGGACCCCUUUCCAAAGCUGUUGGUUUUUGGAACGAGGUAAUCAUAAUAAGGACAGUUGGGGGUAUUCGUAUUUAACUGUCAGAGGUGAAAUUCUUGGAUUUUUUAAAGACGAACUAUUGCGAAGGCAUCUGCCCAGGAUGUUUUUGUUGAUCAAGAACGAAAGUUAGGGGAUCGAAGACGAUCAGAUACCGUCCUAGUCUUAACCUUAAACUAUGCCGACUGGAGAUUGGAGUCGUCAGUCCUUGACGUCUUCAGCAUCCUGAGAGAAAUCUAAGUCUUUGGGUUCCGGGGGGAGUAUGGUCGCAAGGCUGAAACUUAAAGGAAUUGACGGAAGGGCACCACCAGGAGUGGAGCCUGCGGCUUAAUUUGACUCAACACGGGGAAACUUAUCAGGUCCAGACAUAGAUAGGAUUGACAGACUGAUAGCUCUUUCUUAAUUCUAUGGGUGGUGGUGCAUGGCCGUUCUCAGUUGGUGGAGUGAUUUGUCUGGUUAAUUCCGUUAACGAACGAGACCUUAACCUGCUAAAUAGUUUCCAAAACUUCGGUUUUCGGCUUACUUCUUAGAGGGACUUCGUGUGUUUAACAUGAGGAAGUUUGAGGCAAUAACAGGUCUGUGAUGCCCUUAGAUGUCCUGGGCUGCACGCGCGCUACACUGAUGU
rnacentral:rRNA from 1 species